rnacentral:lncRNA from 1 species
AAAGCUAUCUUGCAUUUGCUUUCGAAAUUUUUGCUAGCUUGUGCAUUGAAAAUGAAAGUAAACUUCCUAGCAUGCUAAGGAAGUAAAACUUGCAAGCUUGCACUUCUCAAAAAGAGAAGAAAGAUCUUGCCUAUCGAAAGAAGCAAAAAGUGCAAAACUUCGAAAACUUGCAACAAAAUUGCUCUUGCCAUGCUUUGUAUCAAAAAUAGGUUGAUAUCCUUAAAAG